rnacentral:rRNA from 1 species
UACGUAGGGUCCGAGCGUUGUCCGGAGUUACUGGGCGUAAAGCGCGCGCAGGCGGCGGUGCUGGCCCGGCGUGAAAGCCCCCGGCUCAACCGGGGAGGUCGUCGGGGACCGCACCGCUUGAGGGCGGUAGGGGCUGGUGGAAUGCCUGGUGUAGUGGUGAAAUGCGUAGAGAUCAGGCGGAACACCCGUGGCGAAGGCGGCCAG